rnacentral:rRNA from 1 species
UGGUGGAGUGAUUUGUCUGGUUAAUUCCGUUAACGAACGAGACCUCAGCCUGCUAAAUAGUUUGACGAACACUGCGUGUUCGCAUCAAAGCUUCUUAGAGGGACUUUUUGUAUCUAGCAGAAGGAAGUUUGAGGCAAUAACA